rnacentral:rRNA from 1 species
CCUACGGGAGGCAGCAGUGAGGAAUAUUGGUCAAUGGACGAGAGUCUGAACCAGCCAAGUAGCGUGAAGGAUGACUGCCCUAUGGGUUGUAAACUUCUUUUAUAUGGGAAUAAAAUGUUCCACGUGUGGGAUUUUGUAUGUACCCUAUGAAUAAGGAUCGGCUAACUCCGUGCCAGCCGCCGCGGUAAUACGGAGGAUCCGAGCGUUAUCCGGAUUUAUUGGGUUUAAAGGGAGCGUAGGUGGAUUGUUAAGUCAGUUGUGAAAGUUUGCGGCUGAACCGCAAAAUUGCAGUUGAAACUGGCAGUCUUGAGUACAGUAGAGGUGGGCGGAAUGCGUGGUGUAGCGGUGAAAUGCUUAGAUAUCACGAAGAACUCCGAUUGCGAAGGCAGCUCACUGGACUGCAACUGACACUGAGGCUCGAAAGUGUGGGUAUCAAACAGGAUUAGAUACCCUAGUAGUC